AUGAAAGUAUCGUGGGUGUGGCAGCGGGGCAGCAAGGACAUGACAGCCAUGCCACAUCCGCGCCACCGCACUGCCAAGAAGCCCAUGUGGAUAAUUGUGCUACUGUCAAUUGUUUGUGUUUCGUUGAUCGGGGCUUAUGUCUAUCCUCCACGGCGCUACUCGACCUGUUACUUCUUUGCUUCAAGUGUUUGUACUCCCUUUAAGGAUUGGCUCCCUGCUGUGACCCGGCGGGAGCUGACCGAUCAAGAGGUUUUUUCGUCUGUGGUCAUCAGAGAUUUGCUUGCAAUGCCUAUGCCCGUGUCCAAGAAGCCAAAGAUUGCAUUUAUGUUCUUGACACCUGGUUCAUUGCCCUUCGAGAAAUUGUGGGAGAGAUUUUUGCAGGGCCAUGAGGGACGAUAUUCCAUCUAUAUCCAUGCAUCGCGUGAAAAGCCUGUGCAUUCUAGUCCUUUGUUUGUGGGCCGAGAAAUUCGCAGUGAAAAGGUAGUAUGGGGCAGGGUUUCAAUGGUUGAUGCAGAGAAAAGGCUGUUAGGAAAUGCAUUGCUAGAUAUUGAUAAUCAAUUUUUCGUCUUGCUUUCUGACAGCUGUAUUCCACUACAUACAUUUGAUUACAUCUAUAAUUAUCUGAUGGGAACAAAUGUUAGCUUCAUUGACAGUUUCCUGGAUCCUGGUCCUCAUGGAAGUGGAAGGUAUUCUAUAGAAAUGUUUCCUGAAAUAGAGCACAGGGACUUCAGGAAGGGUGCGCAGUGGUUUGCUAUAACAAGAAGGCAUGCUAUACUGAUUAUGGCAGACAACCUCUACUACGGUAAAUUCAAGCUAUAUUGCAAGCCAACAGUGGGACGGAACUGUAUCGCCGAUGAGCACUAUUUGCCAACCUUGUUCAAAAUAGUAGAUCCUGGCGGGAUUUCUAAUUAUUCAGUGACACAUGUUGACUGGUCUGAGGGGAAAUGGCAUCCGAGGUCCUAUAGAGCUGCUGAUAUUACCUAUGAACUCUUAAGAAACAUAACGUAUUUCAAUGAGAUUGUGCACAUUGCAAGUGAUGAGACUAGAACUGUGACAUCGACCCCAUGUAUAUUGAACGGAAGAAAGAGACCGUGCUUCCUUUUUGCAAGAAAAUUUUACCCAGAUGCUGUCAACAAUCUACUGAAGCUAUUUCCCAGUUACACAUCUGCUUGA
rnacentral:rRNA from 1 species